AAGUCGUAACAAGGUUUCCGUAGGUGAACCUGCGGAAGGAUCAUUAAAGAGUUUUGAGGUUGGUCGCAUCCCGCACUCAGUGUAAAAGCUGUGUAACGGGCGCUGCGUACCAUGACCUUUGCGUAUGUUGUGUUUGUCUGUGUUAUUAUGUUAUAUUAAAUUAAAGACAACUUUUAACAAUGGAUCUCUUGGUUCUC
rnacentral:misc_RNA from 1 species